rnacentral:rRNA from 1 species
UACGAAGGGUGCAAGCGUUACUCGGAAUUACUGGGCGUAAAGCGUGCGUAGGUGGUUUGUUAAGUCUGUUGUGAAAGCCCCGGGCUCAACCUGGGAAUGGCAAUGGAUACUGGCAAGCUAGAGUGCGGUAGAGGGUAGUGGAAUUCCCGGUGUAGCGGUGAAAUGCGUAGAGAUCGGGAGGAACACCAGUGGCGAAGGCGGCUACCUGGACCAGCACUGACACUGAGGCACGAAAGCGUGGGGAGCAAACAGG